rnacentral:rRNA from 1 species
CCUACGGGCGGCUGCAGUGGGGAAUAUUGGGCAAUGGGCGCAAGCCUGACCCAGCAACGCCGCGUGAAGGAAGAAGGCUUUCGGGUUGUAAACUUCUUUUCUGAGGGACGAAGAAAGUGACGGUACCUCCGGAAUAAGCCACGGCUAAGUACGUGCCAGCAGCCGCGGUAAUACGGAGGUGGCAAGCGUUAUCCGGAUGUAUUGGGUUUAAAGGGCGUGUAGGCGGGAAAGCAAGUCAGAUGUGAAAACUCAGGGCUCAACCCUGAGCCUGCAUUUGAAACUGUUUUUCUUGAGUGCUGGGGAGGCAAUCGGAAUUCCGUGGGUAGCGGUGAAAUGCGUAGAUAUACGGAGGAACACCAGUGGCGAAGGCGGAUUGCUGGACAGUAACUGACGCUGAGGCGCGAAAGCGUGGGGAGCAAACAGGAUUAGAUACCCUAGUAGUC